rnacentral:misc_RNA from 1 species
UUGGGGUUGCUUCUUCUGCCCUUUCAAGUAAUUUGGGGUUGUUUGGAGUGCUUCCAUCAUUGACUUUGGGGCUGUUAGCUUAUUAUGCACCCAUUGUUGUUUUCUUGGUGUUUGCUAGGCUUAAUGGACAAGUAGUACCCAAGGAAAAACAUGGGGAGUAUUAUUGUGUAUGGAAACAGGAUAGCUGGGUUCCUGCUUAUUACACAUUUGCAAGUCUAACCAUGCUUUGGUCAGCCACAUCAAUGAUUGAGGCACAUGUUUAUGUCAUAAGUGGAACAAUUGCACAAUGGUACUUCUCCAAGGAUGAAUCAGGUCCCAAAAGGUCUAUGAGAAGUGCUUUGAGAAAUGCAUUUGGUCCAUCCUCAGGCACAGUAUGUUUCUCUGGGUUACUGAUCGCUGUGGUUCGUGUUGUUCGUUCCAUAGUUGAUAAUGCAAAUCAAGAAGAUUCUGGAAUUGUGAACCUUAUUCUGCGAUUUUGUGCCAAUACCUUGCUGUCAGCGGUUGAGUUUGUGAAUAAAUUCACCAUAAACUUUGCUGCUAUAACUGGUGAAGCAUACUGCACUUCUGCUAAGAUGACAUAUGAACUUCUAAAGCGCAAUCUUCUCUCUCCAGUGUUUGUGGAGACCGUCUCCACUCGUUUACUGGCUGGAAUAAUCUUUGUUCUCUCAACAAUAUAUGCAAUAUUGGUUUUUGUUGUGGUAAGAGCUGCUAGUAAUCUUGAUGUCGAAUCAUACCUUAUUGCUGUUCUGGCAUGGCUGCUGCUGAUGGUGAUUCUUGGUUUCUUCGUCUUUGUUUUGGAUAACGUUAUAGACACAGUAUAUGUUUGUUAUGCGAUUGAUAGAGACAGAGGAGAGGUAUGUAAACAGGAGGUUCAUGAUGUUUAUGUGCACCUUCCUAUCAGUAGGAGUCAUAGUUCUGCCUCUUAUGGUGCCAGAAGUCCCCUGCUUGUAUAAGGACUUCAAUGUGUUGUAGUCUGUCUGUAAUUCUUUUUCUCCUUUUUGGUUUCGGUUUCCCUUUGUAAUUGCCGGAUUGUCCUGUUAGGCAGGUUGUGCAGUGAGGUAAAUUUAUUCUGUAUAACAGUGUUUUUCCAAUAAAAAUG